rnacentral:rRNA from 1 species
UUAUAAUUAAAAAAUUAAUUAAAAAAAUAUUAAAUGAGUUCAUUAAAUUUAGAUUAUUUGGCGGUAUUUUAAAUAAUUAGAGGAAUUUGUUAAUUAAAUGAUAUUCCACGAAUGGAGGGUCCUGAUAAAGUUUUAUGUAUUGUUGUAUUAAAAUUAUUUUAGGAAUUAUGAUUAAGAAAUUUAAUAUAAUUUGAAUUCAAAUCAAAAUGUAGAAUUAUUAGGUUUAAAUGAAUUACAAUUUAAUAUAGUAUUGGAUUUAUAUUUUUAAAUAUAUAAUGAAAUAGGAUUUAAGAGUAAAUUUAAGAAAGUAUUUAAAUUGAAAUAUUAAUUAAAAUAUG